rnacentral:rRNA from 1 species
CGCCUCUUGCCUCAAUGAAUAAGAGGUCACGCCUGCCCUGUGACUAUAUGUUUAACGGCCGCGGUAUUUUGACCGUGCAAAGGUAGCGCAAUCACUUGUCCUUUAAAUGUGGACCUGUAUGAAUGGCAUAACGAGGGCUUAGCUGUCUCCUUUCUCAAGUCAAUGAACUUGAUCUCCCCGUGCAGAAGCGGGGAUAAAACCAUAAGACGAGAAGACCCUAUGGAGCUUUAGACAAAAAACAGCCCCUGUCAAUAAACCCCAAAUAAAGGAAAUAAACCUAGUGAACCUGUUUUAAUGUCUUUGGUUGGGGCGACCGCGGGGUAACAAAAAACCCCCAUGUGGAAUGAAAACACCCUUUUUAAAACCAAGAGUCACCACUCUAAGUUACAGAACAUCUGACCAAUAAUGAUCCGGCUAAAGCCGAUUAACGAACCGAGUUACCCUAGGGAUAACAGCGCAAUCCUCUUUUAGAGUCCAUAUCGACAAGAGGGUUUACGACCUCGAUGUUGGAUCAGGACAUCCCAAUGGUGCAGCCGCUAUUAAAGGUUCGUUUGUUCAACGAUUAAAGUCCU